rnacentral:antisense_RNA from 1 species
AAUUAUGGUGGGCUGAGAGAGGCUGACUUCGGCCAGGCCGUGUCCGUACGUGCGGUUGUUCCAACCUCGAUCAGUCCACCACCUCU